rnacentral:pre_miRNA from 7 species
UUGGAAGUUUUCUGUCUGCAGAUCCCCUUUCCUUAUCACUUUUCCAGCCAGCUUUGUGACUCUAAGUGUUGGACGGAGAACUGAUAAGGGUAGGUGACUGGCACUCCCUGCCUUCAGAAAC